UACGAAGGGGGCGAGCGUUGUUCGGAAUUACUGGGCGUAAAGGGCGCGCAGGCGGCUCUGAAAGUCAGAUGUGAAAGCCCCGGGCUUAACCUGGGAAUUGCAUUUGAUACUCUGGAGCUUGAGUACGGGAGAGGAGAGUGGAAUUCCCAGUGUAGAGGUGAAAUUCGUAGAUAUUGGGAAGAACACCGGUGGCGAAGGCGGCCAUCUGGACGGAUACUGACGCUGAGACGCGAAAGCGUGGGUAGCAAACAGG
rnacentral:rRNA from 1 species